CGGGUGGCAGCAGUGGGGAAUUUUGGACAAUGGGGGAAACCCUGAUCCAGCAAUGCCGCGUGAGUGAAGAAGGCCUUCGGGUUGUAAAGCUCUUUCGGCCGGGACGAAAUCGCUCUGGUGAAUAUCCAGGGUGGAUGACGGUACCGGAAUAAGAAGCACCGGCUAACUACGUGCCAGCAGCCGCGGUAAUACGUAGGGUGCGAGCGUUAAUCGGAAUUACUGGGCGUAAAGCGUGCGCAGGCGGUUUUGUAAGUCAGACGUGAAAGCCCCGGGCUUAACCUGGGAAUUGCGUUUGAAACUGCAAGGCUAGAGUACGGCAGAGGGGGGUAGAAUUCCACGUGUAGCAGUGAAAUGCGUAGAUAUGUGGAGGAAUACCGAUGGCGAAGGCAGCCCCCUGGGCUAGUACUGACGCUCAUGCACGAAAGCGUGGGGAGCAAACAGGAUUAGAUACCCCGGU
rnacentral:rRNA from 1 species